rnacentral:lncRNA from 1 species
CACCAACUUUUAACCCAACCAAUCAGCCACCUCAAGUCCAACCACCACAAGCACCGCCAUAGCUUAACACAGUGCAAUUCCUCUCCUCUCCUCCUCCUCCUCCUCUCUCUCUCUCUAGCUUAAUAGAAUGGGUAAUGGCUGGUCUGAAUCAAUUGAGCCUGAAGCUUCAUCAAGAAAAACCCAGUUGGAAAAUGAACCCAUUUCUAAUCCCAAAAAAUCCAAUCUCAAAUUAUGGCAGGCCCAAAUCAAUUGAGCCUGGAGCUUCAUCAAGAAGAACCCAACUGGAAAAUGAACCCACUUCAAAUCCCAAAAAAUCCAAGCUCAAAUUCUAGUUAAUCAUUGCGGCCACUCUCAAAGUCGCCUUUGAGUUUCUGCUGCACUUGUAAUGGGGCUCCAGCCAAAAAAAAUUUCGGGCCAAUGCACUCAAGCCAAGCCAUAUCCAAGACCUACAGCCGGACUCGCUAUCACGCUCCGUGUCAACUCACUCAUGAACUUUCCCGUCUUCAAUAGAUUACUACUCAACCAAUCGGCCAUCUCAAGUCCCACCACACGACCUCCGCCAAAUCCAGUAGCAAGUCCAUCCCAACCACCAGCAUUGUCAUCUCCACCACCGGCACUUCCAUCGGCUGUACCUCCACCACCAGUGCUUUCAUUGCCAACACUUCCACUGGUUGGGAGUUUUUUGGAAUCGAGGGUUUUGAGUUGGGGCCGUGGGGGUUUUGAGCGUAUUUAAUACGUGAUUAAAUGUUUCAAUUAGUUUUAAGAGUACUUUUCAAAAUUCUCAUUUUUUGGGGGUAUUGGACCUAAUUUUCCCAAAUUAAAACCAUUUCCUAUAAAUUUGUUUUAUUUUUUGUAGGAUCUGGACUUGGAGGGUUGUAAUAGCCUAGUGCAACCCACUGCCAAAUCCGCCCAUGUCAACCACUCUGAAGGACUUUGAAUAUGGUUGUGAACAGAUUUAGAAACAAAUUAAAAAAAAAAUUAUUAAAGGGAACAGCCCGCUUUUUCAAUAUUUUGUGUGACAUGAUAUUUUGAAAACACAAUUGAGUUUUUGUUAUUAAUGUAGUUUAGCGCGAGUGCAUAGAUCACGAAAGAGCUCAUGAAGGGCUAUAUUUCAAUUCUGCAAAUAUUUUGAGAGGAGUUUCUUUUCCUACUGUUUGGCAUAAGAACAGGUUUUAUUGUUGCUACUUGCUAAGCAACUUUUUCUAUGUAUAGUUUAUCAUUUUUGUAGCUGGAAAGGAUAAAAAUAGGAAAAUGGUGAUCGUAGGUAUUGAAUGAGGGAGAAAGACCUUGAACUAAUGAAAUUUUACCUAAAAAAAUUGUUUUAGCUCCUGCUUAUCUUAAUUCUUUUUUUCUAAGUCUUUGUUUGUCAACCAUUCUACCACAUUAUUUUUCAAUUCUCAUUUUCAACUAUACAUUCUUCAUUAAAAUAAUAUUCCACAUAAAUUAAAAAAAAAAAUUCUUCUUUUUUAACCAUAUGUUUCAACAUCAAUCAACAUUCUGUAAUACACUUUUUGAAAUUAAAUGGGUACAAACAGGCUCUAAAUGUGGUUCUGUAUAUUUGAAGGAGAUCCCCUGAUCCUUAGAAUUUCGAUAACUUUUUCUCCUUGUAGUAGAACACCAAAUGAAAUAAAACAUUAACAUCAAAAUUUAUGUAUAGCCACUGUAAUCCAUGAAGUUGUCUGGGAGUCAGAUGAUGAAGAAGAUGCUGAGUAUGCAAUGCAGAAUCAGAUUAAAGGAGAGGAAAACAUGAGUAUAAGAUGUUGAAUAGCUUCAUUCUUUCUUUACGUUUUUUGAUUCCAUGGCUAAAUUUUGUCUGUGCACAAGCUACAUUUAUGUAUUUACUCCUAAUAUAGCGCUUUCUUGUGGACAUGGAGAGAGAUUAUGAGGAGGAGCUGAGGCCUAAGGAUAUCUUAGAUGAUGAAGAGAUGCUAGACGAGCCUGAAGAAGAAUAUGCUGAUGCUACACCUAAGGAAGUGGAAGCUGUUCCGCCACUGGUGUUGGAGAUGUCCAUGAGCCGUGGAAGGUUUGUCUCUUUGCUUAUUUGAUGGAGCUAUUACACCUCAGCCCAUGUUUCAGUUUUCUCUUAAAUCUUUGUUAGAAAAUUAAAGACUUGUGUUUCUAUUACCACAUAGAAGACCAUGUUUAUAGGGCUAUAAAUAACUAUAAAAGAAAAGAUUGUGUGAUAAUAAGACAAUCAAACUAUUAAGGAAAAUAAUCUCACACAAUUGAGAAAAAAUCAUAGAGAUUAUUCUUUACAUUCUUUUCAUAUUUUCAACACCCUCCCUCAAACUCAAUAUAGUGUAGUGACAAUCAAAUUGAGUUUGAAAAUUAAAUUGAUCUAAAUCAAAUAUUUCUCUUCCAAGGAUCAAAUGAUACUUUAAAAUUGAUUGUAUGCCAACCAAUCCAAACAAAGAACUCAAAGUUGAUAAGGAUGAAAAGUCAUCAUCCACCAAGAUAACCAAACCAUCACCAAGACUUGAAGGAGAAACUCAUAAGUAUAACGAACAAUGUCAAAACAAGAACCUCAAAUGAUUUUAAUAACCAGAUAAGCAAAGAUAGGCCAUGUUUAAUAGUAGCACUCCAAAAAUCCAUGGGUAGUACAGCACUACACUUAUAGAUGGAGGAAAUACAGAUUAAACAGGAACUCUGGCACACAAGGAUGCUAAAACAAUUGAUGUGAUGGGAAUAAAUUCAAUGAAAACAUAACAUGAUAAUUCUCAGUUUUCUUGAAACCCAACUUUCCAAGAUAAAAAGAAUAAGAAUAGCCAACAUCUAAUUGGGAGGUGAAUUAAUCUGAACUCCAAAUUUAGAUUAGAUCAAGAACAAGAAAUAUGGACAAAAUUUGAGUAGACAUGGAUAUUUAAUCAAAAUAAGAAAACUUGACUGGAUGAGCAACACAAGGCUGCUCGCCGAAGAACAAAAGCUUACAAAUUUAAUCCAAAAUGAAGUUAAACCCUCUCUGAUACUAUGUUAGAUUAUUAUAAAUUGUAUAUUAUAAACUUGUGUUUCUAUUACAACAUAGAAGAUCAUAUUUAUAGGGCUGUAAAUAAAUCUAAAAGAAAAGAUUGUAUGAUAAUCACAUAAUCAACUAUUAACGAAAAUAAUCUCACACAACUAGGAAAUUAUCAUAGGGAUUACUCCUUACAAUCUUUUCAUAUCUUCAACAAUCUUAAUUUAUAAUUACAUGCUAAUACAUCGGAAAAAGAACUCUUCUGAUUUAAUUCUUUAUGCUAAUUUAUAACGCAUGUAGUUAUAAAUUAACACAUAGUCACUAAAAAGAGGGGAGAGAAAGGUGAGCAAAAUUCUUAAUAGAUUAUAUGAUUGAGACUAUAUGGAUUUAACUAUAAAGUUCCAAAAUUACGCCUUCAAGCUAAAAUCUGCUCAGGAUGUGAACCUGAUUCAGGGUUUGAACUUCUCAAACUUUCAGGAUACUUUUGCAAGACUUCGCCGUGUAAUAAUCAGAACCUCCAUAAUUUGGUAAUAUCUUCACUGUUGAAUGCCUGAAUACUUACUUUCUAUUGUCCUUUCUUCAUUUGUACUUGGUUGUCAAUAAGGGAGAGUUGUGCAAUCAUUAAAUAUUUUUUAACAUUAACAUAGACUGUACUUAGUUUUGUUUAGGUAAACGUUUAGAACAUAGAAAUAGACCAUGAACUUCGAUGAUAACAAAAAUGUGAAGUUGUGUGAUUAGCCCAACUGGAAUAUUUAAUUAAAUAAGCCUAAGGCCUGGCUACUUGCACCACUAGCUUUCUUGUAGUAGUAGUACUUUCCAUUUACUCAUUUCUCUCUUCGGCUUAUCAUUUAAUUCAUAGUUAUCAAUUGUAAUAAUGAGUUGCCCUAUUGGUAAAUAGCAUUACAAACGCAUAAAAAUCUAUACUCAAGACUCAACUCAAAUGAAGCUCCAAUCACGUAAAAUAAAGAACAAACAGUAGCUUGCAAUUUUAUAAGAUGUUCUUUCUUCUCUAACUUUUCCGUGUCAUCAACUUAAGAAUAUAUCACUUUUGGGGGGUUUUAAGUAAGUCUAGAGGUUAGCUGUUAGAAAUUUUCGAGUUGACAUUUUACAUUUCAAGUUUAUAGGAUAUUAGUAGUGAAUUGGUUCAAUCCAGCUUUAGCAAGAAUCAAAUGGAUUGAGUCAAAACUUGGUUUCGUAAUUGGUUCUAGGUUCAUGUAGUACGAUCUUUUUUAAAUUUGAAAAAAUGGACCAAAAUAAAGCAAGCAUGAGCAGUUUGAAUUGGACUAAACUUAAAUAUGAUGAGUUCUAGUUACCUCGUGGAUUGACAUCCCAUUUGAUCAGUUUAGUUGGAAAGAAGGUGGAAGGGGAAGGUAACGACGACUAAAAUAUGAUAGCAUGUUUGGUAAGUUGGUUAUGACAAUAUUAAAGAAGAAAAGUUACAGUCUUAUUUCUUAUUAUCAUCCGAUCCUACCUAAUAAUACAUGUCUAAAUAACAUGAAAGCGCCACACAUUUAGUUUCUGUUCUUUUCGAUUUUCAUUCACUCCUUUACCUGAUAAUUCUUCUGUUUUUUGAAAUCCCUCUUUAAUACUUAUAUAUUCAAAUCAAGAAAAUUGAGUUAAUUACUCAAGGAAAAAGUGUCUUCAUAUACUUUUUAUAUUAGAAUUGAUAUAAAAUUGGAAUCAAAGGAUCUUUAGAGAUCUUUUUGUUUGCAAAUUAUCCAUUAAUAAAUAUUACCGGAAGAAAAAACUAGAAAUAAUAUGGUAGUCUAAUAAAUGAGUAACAUAUCUAGUGAGAUUGUAUUCGUUGUAAUUUACCUCAAUCAAAAUUGAUAUAUAAUGUUUGCUGAAUUCAGAACAAUAGUGAUUCACAAGAGACAUCAACCACAUACCAAGUAGAUCCAAUACAGUACACUGGUUAAGAAAUGGUGGCUCUUGCAAUUGACUCGUCAACUCUUUUGAAUGCUUGAAAUAAGGGAAAAUGAGUUAAACAUUUCUUUGUAAAUAUAUCAUCGUUCUAUGCACUUGAUUUAUCUUGAAUAUAGGGAAUCGAGUUUUCUGAAAAUAUGUUCAGUGAAGGGAAGCAUUUCCAAACCCAUUCCAUUUUUAUUGCAGUAUGUCUUCUCUAUCUCUUAGGAUUAUCGGCAUGUCUUCAGCUUUCAUGAGUUUCUCAAGUUUGAACUUUGUACUUGCCAAAUUUAAAUGUGUACUUCACCCUACCUUUCCCUUGCACUCUUGUUUGUCUUCAUUCUUGUCCUCGGUAGUUCUAUUAGCUGCUCACUUUCUUGAUGUGUGUGCUGUUUUGUGUUUUUCUGACUUUUGUAAAUGAACAGCUAUUAAGUGUAU